GAGUCCUGAGGAGAGGAGAGGUCCACCACUGGAGUCCUGAGGGGAGGAGAGGUCCACCACUGCAGUCCAAAGGGAAGGAGAGGUCCACUACUGGAGUCCCGAGGGAAGGAGAGGUCCAACACUGGAGUCCCGAGGGGAGGAGAGGUCCACUACUGGAGUCCCGAGGGAAGGAGAGUUCCAACACUGGAGUCCCGAGGGGAGGAGGGGUCCACCACUGGAGUCAUGAGGGGAUGAGAGGUCCUCCACUGGAGUCCCGAGGGGAGGAGAGGUCCACCACUGGAGUCCUGAGGGGAGGAGAGGUCCACCACUGGAGUCAUGAGGGGAGGAGAGGUCCACCACUGGAGUCAUGAGGGGAGGAGAGG
ensembl:lncRNA